AUGUCCACCACCGACGUGCUCCUCGCGGCCUCCAGUAGCGACGGCCACCACAUGAGCAUCGACGACGCGCUAGCGCGGCAUGCAGGGGAGUUCGGAUGGUGGCAGCUGCGGCACUUCGUGCUGGUGACGGCGGCGUGGACGCUGGAGGCGAUGCACAUCAUGGUCAUGGUCUUCGCGGACCGCGAGCCAGCCAUGUCGUGCCCCGCGGGGGACGGAAGGUGCGGCGACCGCUGCGCCGGCUCUGCGGCCGGGUGGGAGUGGGACCAGGGGAGCGGCUCCUCGACGGUGGCCGAGUGGGGUCUCGUCUGUGGCGAGCGGUACAAGGUCGGCCUCGUCCAUGCAGUCUUCUUCGUCGGCAGCAUGAUCGGUGCCGGUGUCUUUGGACACCUGUCAGACUCUUUUCUCGGUCGGAAGGGGUCCCUCCAGGUGGUGUGUUUCCUCAAUGCCGUUUUCGGCCUCCUCACAGCUCUCUCCCCAAACUAUUGGGUUUAUGCAUCCUUCCGCCUUCUCACUGGAUUUAGCGCCGGAAGUGUUUGCCUCUGCUCUUUCGUCCUUGCCACGGAGCCCAUCGGGCCUUCCUACCGUGGUGCCGCGGGCAUGUCCACUUGCUACUUCUUCUCUAGUGGCAUCGCGGCCCUGUCUGGCAUCGCCGCGCUAUGCCAGUCCUCUUGGCGCCUCCUUUAUGUUGUCACCUCACUUCCCUCUGUUGCAUUCAUGUUUUUCAUCCUUCCAUUCAUCUCUGAGUCCCCGCGUUGGUACCUUACCCACCGGCGUACCGAUGAUGCAAUGCGUGUCCUACGAGACAUUGCUUCCAGUAACCGCAGAAGCUUCCCAAACAACAUCACGCUAAAGCUCGACGAUGAGGACGAUAUCAAUAAGAAGGUUGAGCAGGCAUCAUCAUCGAUCCUAGAUGUGUUACAAUCGCGGACGACUCGUGUUAGGCUUGUGCUCUCGAUGUCGAUCAGCUUCCUUUGCUCAGUGGUGUACUACGGACUAAGCCUCAAUGUGGUCAACAUAAAAAUCAACAUGUACAUUGGUGUCGUUGUUAAUUCUCUCGCUGAGAUGCCCGCAUACCUACUCACUACCAUGCUCCUCCCGCACUUCGGAAGGAAGCCGCUCGGCAUUGGCACAAUGCUUCUCAGUGGAAUCUUUUGCACAAUUGCCAGCCUCAUUGCCGAUGUCAAUUCCAUGAGGGUGGUCAGGAUGGCAUGUGGGGUGGUGGGCAUCUUUGGGAUGUCAGGGACAUACAACCUGUUGCUAGUAUACACAUCCGAGUUGUUCCCUACGGUGGUGCGGACCGUAGCCAUGGGAUGCACGUCGCAAGCAUCGCAAAUGGGUGCCAUACUAGCACCCAUGGUGGUCUUGUUCGGGGAUCGGGUGCCGUUUGCGGUUUUUGGCAUGUUCGGUAUCAUCGGUGGGCUGCUGAUGUUCUGCCUCCCAGAGACUAUGGAUAAGCCAUUGUAUGACACCAUGUUUGGGCUGGAGAAAGGGGAGAAAGCGUCUAGGAGUGAAGAGGAAGUGUCAAAGGAAAUCUCCGACUGCUGA
rnacentral:rRNA from 1 species